CAAGACCAAAAUCCGAAGCUUCUCGCCAUCGACGCCACCACCAACCGCCAUGAAUUAUAGGACCGCCAAGAGGAGGAAGGGGAUCCCACACAGAGCUCCCAUGGGAGGACUCAUCAUAGAGUACUAAGAAAUGAAUAGCUCCAGGUUCCUUAUAUACAUAUAUGACCCUGUUAUAAUUACACUUUUUAAAAAAAAAGACACUAUUAUAAUGCCCCUAAUAAUCAAUGUUAUAGCAUAUACAAGUUACAUCACCUGAGCCUUGUGCCCAAGAGGCCGGUGUUGGAUUCUAAGUAAGUCAGUCCUGUGUUUGUACAUACAAGAGCUGAACAACAAAAAUAAGGAGUCAAGAAAGGGGGGGGAAAGGAAAAACAAAGAAGAUGAAAU
rnacentral:lncRNA from 1 species